rnacentral:tRNA from 1 species
GGUGGUGUGGUGUAAUGGUAGCACGUGACGUUGUGGAUACUCCACACUAUUCCGUUUCAAUCUGGGUUCGAUUCCCAGCACCGCCA